AGCUUUGUGCAGUGGAAGUAUUGUAGCCAAUGAGGUUUAUCCAAGGCGUGAUUAUUUCUAAUUAAGAAUUAAGUUACAAUUAAA
ensembl:snRNA U4 U4 spliceosomal RNA